rnacentral:rRNA from 1 species
UACGGAGGGUGCAAGCGUUAUCCGGAUUCACUGGGUUUAAAGGGUGCGUAGGUGGGAAUGUAAGUCAGUGGUGAAAUCUCCGUGCUUAACACGGAAACUGCCAUUGAUACUAUGUUUCUUGAAUUUUCCGGAGGUCAGCGGAAUAUGUCAUGUAGCGGUGAAAUGCUUAGAUAUGACAUAGAACACCAAUUGCGAAGGCAGCUGGCUACUCGGAUAUUGACACUGAGGCACGAAAGCGUGGGGAUCAAACAGG